rnacentral:rRNA from 1 species
UACGUAGGGAGCAAGCGUUGUCCGGAAUCAUUGGGCGUAAAGCGCGCGUAGGCGGCCCGAUAAGUCCGCUGUAAAAGUCAACGGCUCAACUGUUGAAAGCCGGUGGAUACUGUCGGGCUAGAGUACGGAAGAGGCAAGUGGAAUUCCUGGUGUAGCGGUGGAAUGCGCAGAUAUCAGGAGGAACACCGGUGGCGAAGGCGGGUCUCUGGACAGUUCCUGACACUGAGGCACGAAGGCCAGGGGAGCAAACGGG